UCUCUUCCUGUCUUUCUUUUGUCCCUCCCUUUUCAUUCCACUCUUCUUCUCCUUCUUCCUUCUCUUCAUAUAAUCAUUCAGAUUGUCUAUGAAGCUACUCCUCAAAUAAAUACAACUGAUGAUUUUGGUUAUGAUGAUGGUGAGGAUUUAUAUGAAGCAGUAGAAACUGAUCGACUUGAUGUGAGUGAUACCCCUCCAGCAUUACCUGGUCUACCACCAUCAGGUUCUAGACCAACCAUACAGCCAACAACUGAGGAAGAUGAAGAUUCUCAGGAUGUCUAUGAGUAUCUCCCAGAAGAGGAUCAAGAUUGAUUUAUAACUUAUUGAUGGGAUUUCUUUUGUUUGUUUGUAUUAGAUUUUUUUAUUUUCUUAGUAAUUUAUUUAAAAAAGUUUUUGCCUGGAUACUA